rnacentral:rRNA from 1 species
GCGAACGCUGGCGGCAGGCCUAAUACAUGCAAGUCGAGCGCACCUUCGGGUGAGCGGCGGACGGGUGAGUAACGCGUGGGAAUGUGCCCUUUGGUACGGAACAACUGAGGGAAACUUCAGCUAAUACCGUAUGUGCCCUUCGGGGGAAAGAUUUAUUGCCAUUGGAGCAGCCCGCGUUGGAUUAGGUAGUUGGUGGGGUAAAGGCCUACCAAGCCUACGAUCCAUAGCUGGUCUGAGAGGAUGAUCAGCCACACUGGGACUGAGACACGGCCCAGACUCCUACGGGAGGCAGCAGUAGGGAAUCUUGCGCAAUGGGCGAAAGCCUGACGCAGCCAUGCCGCGUGAAUGAUGAAGGUCUUAGGAUUGUAAAAUUCUUUCACCGGGGAAGAUAAUGACGGUACCCGGAGAAGAAGCCCCGGCUAGCUUCGUGCCAGCAGCCGCGGUAAU